GCCAGACUCCUACGGGAGGCAGCAGUGAGGAAUAUUGGUCAAUGGGCGAGAGCCUGAACCAGCCAAGUCGCGUGAGGGAAGACGGUCCUAUGGAUUGUAAACCUCUUUUGCCGGGGAGCAAAAAGCGGUACGUGUACCGCAUCGAGAGUACCCGGAGAAAAAGCAUCGGCUAACUCCGUGCCAGCAGCCGCGGUAAUACGGAGGAUGCGAGCGUUAUCCGGAUUUAUUGGGUUUAAAGGGUGCGCAGGCGGCGAGUUAAGUCAGCGGUAAAAUUUCGGGGCCCAACCCCGACAAGCCGUUGAAACUGGCUUCCUAGAGUGGGCGAGAAGUAUGCGGAAUGCGUGGUGUAGCGGUGAAAUGCAUAGAUAUCACGCAGAACUCCGAUUGCGAAGGCAGCAUACCGGCGCCCAACUGACGCUCAGGCACGAAAGCGUGGGUAUCGAACAGGAUUAGAUACCCUCGUAC
rnacentral:rRNA from 1 species